rnacentral:rRNA from 1 species
UACGUAGGGCGCGAGCGUUAUCCGGAAUUAUUGGGCGUGAAGAGCUCGUAGGCGGUUUGUCGCGUCUGCCGUGAAAGUCCGGGGCUCAACUCCGGAUCUGCGGUGGGUACGGGCAGACUAGAGUGAUGUAGGGGAGACUGGAAUUCCUGGUGUAGCGGUGAAAUGCGCAGAUAUCAGGAGGAACACCGAUGGCGAAGGCAGGUCUCUGGGCAUUAACUGACGCUGAGGAGCGAAAGCAUGGGGAGCGAACAGG